UAAUUUUUUUCGUUCGAUCACAUAUUUUUCAAAUCUUCUCUGGCUUCCUUCCUUCGUUCAUUCACUUAAUUCGAAGUUUACUCCUUCUUUUCACAAAUUGAUUCACUCCUGCACCACCGGACCACCUAUUCGAAGUCUUUCUCUGUACGAGCUCUUUCUUUUCAUUUGAGCAAGGGUUUCUUUUUCCCCAACCCUUUCUCUGAAACCCUAAAAUCAGCAGAGCCACCACCCUGAACUGCAAACAAUUACAUCGACCACAACCAUUGUCACACCAUUUGAUCGCACCUCUCUCCGUUUUCUCUCUAUAUCAUUCUGUGUUUUAGAUCUAAUUUGAUUUCUUUCAAAUCUCUCGCCAUCAGCCACUGUACUGACGACGAAUCUCUAAUCAUCAGCGAUUUUCUUGCUCAAGGGCUUCUUCACAGACGCAGUCGUAUCACUCAUUCUCAAUAGUUAGUAAGUGAAUCACAAAACCCGUCUUUAUAUAUUGAUUUAUUUUAUUCUAUUUGAGAGUAGAUUUUUGGGUUUUUGAUUCAUGUGUUCCUUCACAAAACCAAUCUCAUGCCACAAAACAUAGUUGAUGUCAAGGAAGUAGUGAUUGGAAGUAGCCUUGAUAGUGUUUUGAUGGCCACAAAACCCAUCUUUAAAGGAUUACUAGAGUCAAUGAAGCAACCAUAUAGCCAAAGUGAAGUGAAGUGCUUCAUGGUCCAGCUUUUAGAAGGUGUGAAGUAACUUCAUGACAACUGAGUGCUUCAUAGGGAUUUGAAGACUUCAAACCUGCUUUUAAAUAACAGGGGUGAGCUAACAAUUUGUGAUUUUGGGUUGGCUCGUCAAUAUGGGAGUCCUUUGAAACCAUAUACUCAUCUGGUGGUUAUUCUUUGGUACAGGUAAGCUUUAUUCAAUUAUUGCAAUGUGUCUAUCUUUGUAUAUAUCUAUAUAUCUAUUACAUAUAUUGGAUUAAUUGGUAUCACAUCAUUCAGAGUGUAGUUUGAUUGUUUACUUGUGUUGUGAAUUUGAUAACUGCGGUCAUGCCUGAUUUAUUGAAUAAAAUGUACUCUUCGUUUGUAGUUAUCCUGGAAUAAUAACAAUUAAUAACCAGAUAUUAAUGAUGCAAACUGGCUUCUACUACUUACCCUGUCCUUUGACAUUAGGUCAAUGCUUACAUACUUACCCUUCCUUUUUUUUAUCUGCAGCAAUGUGUUCAAUAAACAUACCUCCUAUUUGUUCCUCUGUUAAUUAGUUUUACAUUGUACUGUGUUGCUACUUUAAUUAACUGCACCUGCUUUCAAAUGCGAGAAAAAUUAAUGUCACAAUUGGUUCAAGAGCAAAGUUUCGUUAGACGAUACACCUAGUUAAAUUCUAUUGGAAUUUCUCCUGUAAUGAAAUGUUCCCAUUAAUAGAUUUUAAAUUAUAGAAAGUUAUUGCUUCUAUUUAUUUUUCUGAUUUUAUUGUCUUCAUAUGUUGGCUAGUUUUAGGAUAAAUGUAUGCAGAAAAACACAUUGGAGAUUGAUAUGGGUUAGAUGGAUAUUUCAAUUUUUAAUUACUAAUCUAUUUUUAAUGAUUGUGAUUAAUUGAUAUAUAAGAACUUAAUUAAUUGUCGUUGGUAGUUUGAAUUGAAUUGAGUUAUUGUUGAGUACUUUGAACUAAAUUGACUCGGAGAAUUCUUCUUAGUUAAAAGGUAAGUUCAAUUAUCUGAUUUGGUGUAUUUGCAAUUUGUUCUAUUUUGAACUAGAACAGACUUUCUAUUUACUUUUCCCAAGUUUAAAUGGAAAGUUACAGUUGUAGCAGCAUAUAGUUGAAUUAGAAUUUGAAGCAAUUGAUAGUUUAAAAGAAUGAUGUGCUCAAGUUUUUUUUCUCCUUUUUUCUAUAUAUGUUUGAAUUAGAAUUUUAAGGACCGAGUUUUCUUGUGAAUGUUAUGUUGCAGGAAGCAUGAAGCAGUUGCUAAGAUUAGUUUCAUGGUAAAUAUGUUUUGUUACUAGAAGAUUCUUGUCCUGAUUAUAUGCUCAACAUAUUAUUCCUUAAUGGUGAUAGCUAUAACUUGGUUUCUUCAUCUACAAUAUCAUAUGGCUUUUAUUUAAUAUUGUAGUUUUCAUUACAGACUGAGGAGUGUUUGAAACGGGAGAAAGAUAGGGUUGUUACCUACACUAUAGUAGGUCGCCAAAGUUAUUAGAGGUUUGUGCUUUACUUGUUCCAUUUUUCAAUGUCUGACUUUUUCUUUUUGAAUUUUUUGAAAGUUCAAUAUUAGCUUUUAUCCAUGUGCGCAAACCAGCUCCUUGAAUAAGAGCAUUCUGGAUGUCUGCAUUACUUAGAGAUGACAAGAUCUAAAGAAGCAUAUAUGGUGGGAAAAAUCUUAUAAAUGUCUUCUUGAAUACAUUUAGAUCAAAUGACUUGAUCCAAUGCUGCGUCAGUGCGAGCAUGAACAUCGUCUAACACUGCGUCAUGUUGAAGACAAAGGUCAAGUUCAUCCCGUCGGAAGCUCUUUGCCUUAAAUUGAAGCAUUCAUAAAAGCUUUACUAUGAGUUGCAAAUGGGAUAUAUGUAGUAAAACAAAAAUUUGGACUGUUAGGUUAUGGCUGCUCGAUCUCUGUUUACGUGGCCAACACAUAUUCUUUUGGUACUAGGUACUUUUUGGUUUAUUUGGUCAAAGAGCCUUCUUGUUUGGAGUGUCUCCACCACAUGAUACAAUAAUGGAUCUUCUUGUUUGGAGUGUCUCCACCACAUGAUACAAUAAUGGAUAUACUUUCUGCCGGAUGAAAGGAAGCUAUGAAGGUGUUGGAGUCUCUUAUAGUUACAAAGUGUAUUAGAAUGAAAAAAACUAAGCUUUAUAUGGAUAUAAUUUAUGUAUGUAUUUUUUUUUUUUUUUGACAAAAUAAUUUAUGUAUGUAUUGACCAUUCCUAUGUUAUGAAUUUUGAGUAAUUCCUGAUUUGCACUAUUUCUAUUGUAAUUUUUCUAUAUAAUCUUUGAUUAAGCAGAGCUUUAUAAGAAUUUAACUUACUAA